AUUUCUGUGUGCUCAAGAAUACUGAAUGGUUUUUUUUUACAAGAGUGGUUAUGAUGUUAAUUCAAGAGAGUGGUAAGAGACAAAGAGCAUAAUAACAUAAGAAGUGUUUGUUGAAUCAGACCAAAGACCUACCUCAUCCUGCAUCCUGGUCCUCAUAGUUGCCAGUCGCCCUGUGGCAUGGCUUUCAUG